AAUAUUAAAUUUUGAUAUCAAAUAAAAUAAAUUAUUUUCUCUUUAUGAAACUUUUUUUAAAAGAAAAUAGUAAUGUAAUGCAUGCAAGUAUUAUUUAAAUUUUUAAAAUAUAAAAAUAACCUUUUAAUUUAUUAAAUUUAUCUAUUCUAUUAUAACCAUUAUUAAAAAAUAGACCAUCUCUAAAAACCAUCAUUAAAAUUAUGGCUCUUAUUAUAAUC
rnacentral:lncRNA from 1 species